rnacentral:pre_miRNA from 1 species
AGGAGGAACAGCCCCAGUGGCGGGGCAGCUCUGGAAACCUGGAUUCAGCCCCCGCAGGAACUCCGGAGCUCUCUGUCUGCAGGGCCUGGAGGCUCCGGGGAGGG